CAGCAGCCACGGGAAUACGAAGGGGGCUAGCGUUGCUCGGAAUGACUGGGCGUAAAGGGCGCGUAGGCGGCGAUCAAAGUCAGGCGUGAAAUUCCUGGGCUCAACCUGGGGGCUGCGCUUGAUACUUGGUUGCUUGAGUGGGGAAGAGGGUCGUGGAAUUCCCAGUGUAGAGGUGAAAUUCGUAGAUAUUGGGAAGAACACCGGUGGCGAAGGCGGCGACCUGGUCCAUUACUGACGCUGAGGCGCGAAAGCGUGGGGAGCAAACAGGAUUAGAGACCCCUGUAGUCCCUGUCUCUUAUAC
rnacentral:rRNA from 1 species